rnacentral:rRNA from 1 species
GGGGGAGCCAAUCUCACAAAACGCGUCGUAGUCCGGAUCGGAGUCUGCAACUCGACUCCGUGAAGUCGGAAUCGCUAGUAAUCGUGAAUCAGAAUGUCACGGUGAAUACGUUCCCGGGCCUUGUACACACCGCCCGUCACACCAUGGGAGUGGAUGCACCAGAAGUGGUUAGUCUAACCUUCGGGAGGACGAUCACCACGGUGUGGUUCAUGACUGGGGUGAAGUCGUAACAAG